AACGAGCGUGGGCGACGUGGGAUUGGCAGGCGGGUGGGUAGGAGCGUGCGGUGGGAUUGGCCAACCCUAUCCACCAAUCCCCCGUCCGCCUCGAGCCCCGCAUCCCUCCUUCCCUGCGCGCUCGGCCGGCUCCGGCAGCAGCCGCCUCCUCUCUUCUUCACCUCCGGCGGCUAGCGCGGUGUAGGGAGCGUCGAGCGCCACCGCGCAUAUGGCAGCGGCGACAGCCAGGAUGCUGGCCCUCGGCCAGGAACGCUGCGGGCAUGGCUUCUCCUCUCCUCCCGAUUCGCCUCCUCUUCUUCGUGCGCGGCGAACGCGACAGCCAUGGCCGCUCCUCCCGAUUUGCCUCCUCUUCUUCGUGUGCGGCGGCCGCUGCAGCUCCUCGCGCCGCCCUCCAUCCACCCUGCCUCUCUUGUUUUCCUCCUCUCUCAGAUCAGGCGCCGUUGCUCGCCGUGGUUCCAGAUCGGGGCGGAGUUCGCCGCCAUUGAGGAGCAGGGGAGGGCGAGGCCCGGGGCUCCACCGCAGCGCGCGCUACACUGGUGCCAGGCUGCAUCUUCUCCUACCCACGUAAACAGCGAGCAGAGGCGUAAUCACGCAGGUGCUAGGUUGCAGGCGAUGAUGAGCUCCUGAUGGUCUACACGGUCCCGCUUUGCCAUGGAGGCUAAGCAAACCUUGCCUCUAGCUAAUUGGUCUUUGAAACUGGAAAGCUGUUCAUAUAUAAGAUUCCUAGGUCUAUUAUUUUCGACAACUCCUUGGUCUAGCUCGCCGGAGUCCUCCCCUCAAUCUCUGCUCUCCUCUCUCUGGCGCACACCGAAGAAGAAAGGAAGAAGAAGAAGAUACAGUGGAGACACAGGACACGGUGGAUUUCCGGCGCACAUACGCCUGCCGCACGAACGGCAAUUUUCUUGAGCACGAACUCGACUCCACGGCGAUUACAAUGAUCAACAUAGGGCUUUUAUAGCCGGCUGGACACAGGGAUCAUACAAUCAAUCCAAUGGUUACCCUUGGUGUGCUUUCUGGAUGGACUAAUCUGAAGAUGCUAAAAUUUUCUGAUAAUGGCAUUUUAGGAAUCAUACAAUCAAUCCAACUAAUACAUUUUUGUAGUUCCUCUGUUACAGAGGUUGCUGCUGCAAGGUGCAGCAGCAGGGGAGAGGAAGGAGGUCUGUGAUAGGGGGAAAGUGCAGGCUGGCCCUUGUUCAUAGGUUAGCCAUUGGAUCUGGAUACUCAUGUUAAAAUUGCAAGUUUCCACAUGUAGAUUUUAUUGUUUGAAGGCAAAGAAAAUUGCAGCAUGAGCAUAAAGACAAUUUAGCCGGGGGUACCCAAACUGAGAGGGAGGUUAGCAGCAAAUGAAAGACCGCAACUUAGGCUUCCAUGUCUCCCUACUGUUCAGUUUAGACCUCCGAAGGUCGAAGGCCAUGGAACACUAAAUAACCUGGCAACGGAUACCCUGUGGUCUACCAUUACCAUUAUCUGUGCAUUUUGGAUCUAUUGGAUGUCUGAAUGUAAUGCUAAUCGACAUUUACUGAUGCAAAGAUUUUGCAGGGAUGUAGAUAUAUAUUGUGAUGUUUCACUACGAUCUUCAAGUGUUUCAGUUCGUAUUUAGCAGGAUCACAUGUUGACCAAUGACUCUUUGUUUUCUCACUGAUCCAGUAUACUCAAGAACUUGAAUAUUGUGUUUGCUGUGAGUUAUUGACAGUUCCUUGAUUUUUGCAACUCAGGAGUGAAGAUGGCCUUCCUUUGGUAGGCGUAGUGAAUGAAUUUUCUUCUAAUUCAGGCCAUGGUUGAUACCGCUCGGCGUCUGGAUCUGCCAUGGAGUGGCUACCAUGGGCCAACCAGAGCUGGGUGCCCCUGUUUCCGACCUCGAGGCGAUUAGAUUAGAGUCUGAUUAAUUAUGUAUCAUUAGGUCCUUCCUUUGGCUAUUAAUCUAUUGUGGUCUACUUUUCAAGCUCAUACAACAGGUUUAUAUUGAAUUAAAUUUUGUAUAGAUAGCUGUAGCGAUUCUAGCGGAACAUCUUCAAGCUUAAGUUGCUGAACUGAUAUAGCUUGUUGUGUAAUGCAUCUUGAUACCAUACAUGUAAACUAGUUUAGGAAAUUGUGUUGUUCUGAGAUAAUUUCUUAUUUGAAAACAUUACCAACAUAGGCAUGUUACCUUCACACAGGGAAAAAGUUAUUUUGUGACCUAAAGAUAUGAUUUAUGGGCCUACCUCAAUAUCUCAGGAGUUGUCCUUUCCUUGUUAACCCUGUACACUUCACAAGGCCCAUCUGUUCAAGGUAGAGAUAAUGAAAGAACAUCAGAAGGACUGAGCAACAGGAGGAACUUCAUCGACCCAGCCAUGAGCAUAUGAUGCUCUGGCGAGUCGAUGAGGACCGUCAUGGAGAUCUGCCCGCGGGGCCUGACCAAGGAACCAAUGCUGAGGCCGUUAGACGAGGACGUGCUCUAGAACCUGCAGUUUGCAGCCCUGGUGUAGGAUGACUGGAACUGCGAGGAGUCCCCGCUCUCAUCGUCACAGAUCCGUGCACAAUCCGCAGAGUACUAACCUCUAGCAUGGUUGAGAAAAAAUAUUGGCAAGCAUUACCAUUAUGAUCCUCCAUCGAUCAUCAGUGUUGAAGGAAUUUCUGUUUCUCUUCAUAUAGGAUACAGAUAUGUGAUUCUCAUGUGCUCCUUUUGCUGGAAACUUGCUAAUCUUAGGGGUGCUGCUACAGGUGUAAAAACCGUUUUAUCAAAAGAACUAAAGUAGUAGCUAAUCCAAGUAUUGAAGAAUUGACGCAUAAAGUUACGGUAUGUUGGCAUGAAGUCAGAGCAGCGCCUGAAGACUACACAAGAUAGUUUCUGGUGACCUUCAGUCUAUAUGUCCUAACCAACAGCAACCACCUUUUGUUUCGUAUCAAUAGAUCCAGUAUCUUUGCCCUUUUGGCGUUGCUCUGAGCAAGAUAUGUAUAGCCUUUAGAUUUUCAUUCAUGUAUGAUACUGCAUGUACACUUUAGACCUCAUUACUGUCUCUGUGGUCAAAAGAAGUUUGUGAUCAAUUGUUCUAUAUAUGUAAUCAACAGCCCUUCUACUAAUAUUUUCAUAAGACUAUUUAUAUAUGUUUACACUGGUUAGAGAAAAUCAUGACAUUGCCAGCUGCAAUUUAAUAUUUCCAUAUGUUUCAGUCUGUCUCUAAAUAUGUUUAUAGAUAUGUUUAUGUGUACUCUUUCAAUACUUGGCUUGCUCUCGCCCUUUGCGCCAUUGGCGCAACGGGUCAUCUAGUUAGAUGAAAUGUGUCUUGGUAGGUGGUACCUUGAUUUGGUAGAUAACUUAUUACAGAUCUUAGGAUUAUACCUUUGGUAGGGGUCAAAUAGUUUUUUCGGCAAUAGGUGCCACUGAAAUGCUUUCGUAGGUGAUACCUUGUCAUCUUGUAUGUUACUAGAUCUUAGGAUUAUAGUUGUCCAUCAAAUUGCUUCUCGCGGAAGAAUCUCAUCAUCAAAUUGAGAGCUUGUUGUUUACUUUUUGGGAUCGGGUUCCACUAUGAAAAUAUAACUGAAGAAGAACCAAAAAUAUCACAUGCUACUGUUUUUUUCUUUCCUGUGAAGUGGAUCGUUAAUGCUUUGCUCAUAUUGCUUUAGGAAAAUGGCGCCACCACCACCACCACCAUGUCGACUGUGCAAGUCAAGGUGCGCCAGCAGCCUUGCAACUGGCAAGCUGUUCGGCUUCUACUUCCAGCCGAGUUUUCGUCAUGCGGCGAUCGUCCCAUGCAAUGUGAGGUUGAAAUUCAACAAGCUGACAGGAGACAUUGUGACAUUUGAGGCUCCUGGGGGGCCGUACACUAUGGAGGUCGAGAAAGGACGCAAUAUGUCGCAGAUUGGAGGAGAUGGAUGGGCCCAUUUCCUCGCCCGCAUGCGUCUUACUGGUGGUGAGUUGAUCAGCUUCUCCUUCAGAGCAGGAAGACCCAAGCUGGCUGUCAUUUAUAUCAACCUGGUGGAAGAUGAUGAAGAUGACGAAGAUGAUGAAGAUAAUGAGGACCCACUCGAUGAAGAUGAUGAGAACCAACUUCAUGAAGCCAUCAUAGCUCAAAGAAUGAGGCUGAGCGAGGAGGAGGUGUGCAACC